ACCUUCUUACGAAGGUAUGCUUAAAGAGGGGCUUGCGCCACAUUAGUUAGUUGGUAGAGUAAAAGCCUACCAAGACGAUGAUGUGUAGCUGGACUGAGAGGUUGAACAGCCACAUUGGGACUGAGACACGGCCCAAACUCCUACGGGAGGCAGCAGUAGGGAAUUUUCGGCAAUGGAGGAAACUCUGACCGAGCAACGCCGCGUGAACGAUGAAGUAUUUCGGUAUGUAAAGUUCUUUUAUUGAAGAAGAAAAAGUAGUGGAAAAACUAUAUUGACGUUAUUCAAUGAAUAAGCCCCGGCUAACUAUGUGCCAGCAGCCGCGGUAAGACAUAGGGGGCGAGCGUUAUCCGGAAUUAUUGGGCGUAAAGGGUGCGUAGGCUGUUAGAUAAGUCUAUAAUUUAAUUUCAGUGCUUAACGCUGUCUUGUUAUAGAAACUGUCUUGACUAGAGUGAGAUAGAGGCAAGCGGAAUUCCAUGUGUAGCGGUAAAAUGUGUAAAUAUAUGGAGGAACACCAGAAGCGUAGGCGGCUUGCUGGGUCUUUACUGACGCUGAGGCACGAAAGCGUGGGUAGCAAACAGGAUUAGAUACCCUGGUAGUCCACGCCGUAAACGAUGAGUACUAAGUGUCGGGGUAAAACUCGGUACUGAAGUUAACACAUUAAGUACUCCGCCUGAGUAGUACGUACGCAAGUAUGAAACUUAAAGGAAUUGACGGGACUCCGCACAAGCGGUGGAUCAUGUUGUUUAAUUCGAAGAUACACGAAAAAUCUUACCAGGUCUUGACAUACUCUGCAAAGCUAUAGAAAUAUAGUGGAGGUUAUCAGGGAUACAGGUGGUGCAUGGUUGUCGUCAGUUCGUGUCGUGAGAUGUUAGGUUAAGUCCUAAAACGAACGCAACCCUUGUCGUUAAUUGCCAGCACAUAAUGGUGGGGACUUUAACGAGACUGCCAAUUAAACAUUGGAGGAAGGUGAGGAUUACGUCAAAUCAUCAUGCCCCUUAUGAUCUGGGCUACAAACGUGAUACAAUGGCUGUGACAAAGAGUAGCUGAAACGCGAGUUUUUAGCCAAUCUCAAAAAAGCAGUCUCAGUUCGGAUUGAAGUCUG
rnacentral:rRNA from 1 species